rnacentral:rRNA from 1 species
UAAGUUAGAAAGGGCGCACGGUGGAUGCCUUGACACUAGGAGUCGAUGAAGGACGGGACUAACGCCGAUAUGCUUCGGGGAGCUGUAAGUAAGCUUUGAUCCGAAGAUUUCCGAAUGGGGAAACCCACCAUACGUAAUGGUAUGGUAUCCUUAUCUGAAUACAUAGGGUAAGGAAGACAGACCCAGGGAACUGAAACAUCUAAGUACCUGGAGGAAGAGAAAGCAAAUGCGAUUUCCUGAGUAGCGGCGAGCGAAACGGAACAUAGCCCAAACCAAGAGGCUUGCCUCUUGGGGUUGUAGGACAUUCUAUACGGAGUUACAAAGGAACGAGGUAGACGAAGCGACCUGGAAAGGUCCGUCGUAGAGGGUAACAACCCCGUAGUCGAAACUUCGUUCUCUCUUGAAUGUAUCCUGAGUACGGCGGAACACGUGAAAUUCCGUCGGAAUCUGGGAGGACCAUCUCCCAAGGCUAAAUACUCCCUAGUGAUCGAUAGUGAACCAGUACCGUGAGGGAAAGGUGAAAAGCACCCCGGAAGGGGAGUGAAAGAGAUCCUGAAACCGUGUGCCUACAAAUAGUCAGAGCCCGUUAACGGGUGAUGGCGUGCCUUUUGUAGAAUGAACCGGCGAGUUACGAUCCCGUGCGAGGUUAAGCUGAAGAGGCGGAGCCGCAGCGAAAGCGAGUCUGAAUAGGGCGUUUAGUACGUGGUCGUAGACCCGAAACCAGGUGAUCUACCCAUGUCCAGGGUGAAGUUCAGGUAACACUGAAUGGAGGCCCGAACCCACGCACGUUGAAAAGUGCGGGGAUGAGGUGUGGGUAGCGGAGAAAUUCCAAUCGAACCUGGAGAUAGCUGGUUCUCCCCGAAAUAGCUUUAGGGCUAGCCUUAAGUGUAAGAGUCUUGGAGGUAGAGCACUGAUUGGACUAGGGGUCCUCAUCGGAUUACCGAAUUCAGUCAAACUCCGAAUGCCAAUGACUUAUCCUUAGGAGUCAGACUGCGAGUGAUAAGAUCCGUAGUCAAAAGGGAACAGCCCAGACCGCCAGCUAAGGUCCCAAAGUGUGUAUUAAGUGGAAAAGGAUGUGGAGUUGCUUAGACAACUAGGAUGUUGGCUUAGAAGCAGCCACCAUUUAAAGAGUGCGUAAUAGCUCACUAGUCGAGUGACUCUGCGCCGAAAAUGUACCGGGGCUAAAUACACCACCGAAGCUGCGGAUUGAUACCGAAUGGUAUCAGUGGUAGGGGAGCGUUCUAAGGACAGUGAAGUCAGACCGGAAGGACUGGUGGAGUGCUUAGAAGUGAGAAUGCCGGUAUGAGUAGCGAAAGACGGGUGAGAAUCCCGUCCACCGAAUGCCUAAGGUUUCCUGAGGAAGGCUCGUCCGCUCAGGGUUAGUCAGGACCUAAGCCGAGGCCGACAGGCGUAGGCGAUGGACAACAGGUUGAUAUUCCUGUACCACCUCUUUAUCGUUUGAGCAAUGGAGGGACGCAGAAGGAUAGAAGAAGCGUGCGAUUGGUUGUGCACGUCCAAGCAGUUAGGCUGAUAAGUAGGCAAAUCCGCUUAUCGUAAAGGCUGAGCUGUGAUGGGGAAGCUCCUUAUGGAGCGAAGUCUUUGAUUCCCCGCUGCCAAGAAAAGCUUCUAGCGAGAUAAAAGGUGCCUGUACCGCAAACCGACACAGGUAGGCGAGGAGAGAAUCCUAAGGUGUGCGAGAGAACUCUGGUUAAGGAACUCGGCAAAAUGACCCCGUAACUUCGGGAGAAGGGGUGCUUUCUUAACGGAAAGCCGCAGUGAAUAGGCCCAAGCGACUGUUUAGCAAAAACACAGCUCUCUGCGAAGCCGUAAGGCGAAGUAUAGGGGGUGACACCUGCCCGGUGCUGGAAGGUUAAGGAGAGGGGUUAGCGUAAGCGAAGCUCUGAACUGAAGCCCCAGUAAACGGCGGCCGUAACUAUAACGGUCCUAAGGUAGCGAAAUUCCUUGUCGGGUAAGUUCCGACCCGCACGAAAGGUGUAACGAUUUGGGCACUGUCUCAACCAGAGACUCGGUGAAAUUAUAGUACCUGUGAAGAUGCAGGUUACCCGCGACAGGACGGAAAGACCCCGUGGAGCUUUACUGUAGCCUGAUAUUGAAUUUUGGUACAGUUUGUACAGGAUAGGCGGGAGCCUUUGAAACCGGAGCGCUAGCUUCGGUGGAGGCGCUGGUGGGAUACCGCCCUGACUGUAUUGAAAUUCUAACCUACGGGUCUUAUCGACCCGGGAGACAGUGUCAGGUGGGCAGUUUGACUGGGGCGGUCGCCUCCUAAAGUGUAACGGAGGCGCCCAAAGGUUCCCUCAGAAUGGUUGGAAAUCAUUCGUAGAGUGCAAAGGCAUAAGGGAGCUUGACUGCGAGACCUACAAGUCGAGCAGGGACGAAAGUCGGGCUUAGUGAUCCGGUGGUUCCGCAUGGAAGGGCCAUCGCUCAACGGAUAAAAGCUACCCCGGGGAUAACAGGCUUAUCUCCCCCAAGAGUCCACAUCGACGGGGAGGUUUGGCACCUCGAUGUCGGCUCAUCGCAUCCUGGGGCUGUAGUCGGUCCCAAGGGUUGGGCUGUUCGCCCAUUAAAGCGGUACGCGAGCUGGGUUCAGAACGUCGUGAGACAGUUCGGUCCCUAUCCGUCGUGGGCGUAGGAAAUUUGAGAGGAGCUGUCCUUAGUACGAGAGGACCGGGAUGGACGCACCGCUGGUGUACCAGUUGUUCUGCCAAGGGCAUAGCUGGGUAGCUAUGUGCGGAAGGGAUAAGUGCUGAAAGCAUCUAAGCAUGAAGCCCCCCUCAAGAUGAGAUUUCCCAUAGCGUAAGCUAGUAAGAUCCCUGAAAGAUGAUCAGGUUGAUAGGUUCGAGGUGGAAGCAUGGUGACAUGUGGAGCUGACGAAUACUAAUAGAUCGAGGACUUAACCA